GACGAACGCUGGCGGCGUGCUUAACACAUGCCAGUCGAGCGGCAAGAUGCUGCUUUUGUACGGUGCUCGAGAGGCGAACAGGGGAGUAACACAUGAGUAACAUGCCCUUGACUUUGGGAUAACUUCAGGAGACUGGGGCUAAUACCGGAUGUAAGAUCAUGCUGCAUGGUGGCGUUUGGAUAGUUUCGGCGGUGGGGGAUGAACUCGCGGCGUAUCAGAUUGUUGGUGGGGUAGUGGCUUACCAGGGAUUUGACGGGUAUCCGGCCUGAGAGGGUGACCGGCCACAUGGGGCGUGAGAUACGGCAGGGACUCCUACGGGAGGUAGGAGUGGGGAAGAUUGUCUAAUGGGGCGAAGCCGGAUGCAGCAAUGCCGUGCUCGGGAUGAUGGACUUCGGUUUGUAAACCGCUUUAGCCGUUGAUGAAGCGUGAUUGACGGUAAUGUGUAAAGAAGCACCGGCUAACUACGUG
rnacentral:rRNA from 1 species